CGCUUCUCUCUUAGCAACUGU
rnacentral:snRNA from 1 species